CAUAUUUAUAUGUACGCGGUAGAGGAGCGUUCCGUAAGCCGUUGAAGGUGGAUUGAGAAGUCUGCUGGAGGUAUCGGAAGUGCGAAUGCUGACAUGAGUAACGAUAAUGCGGGUGAAAAACCCGCACGCCGAAAGCCCAAGGUUUCCUUGCGCAACGUUAAUCGGCGCAGGGUGAGUCGGCCCCUAAGGCGAGGACGAAAGUCGUAGUCGAUGGGAAGCAGGUUAAUAUUCCUGCACCUCGCGUAAGUGCGAUGGAGGGACGGAGAAGGUUAGGUGUACCAGGCGUUGGUUGUCCUGGGGAAAGGCGGUAGGUUUGGAUCUUUGGCAAAUCCGGGAUCCUUCAAGACCGAGCACCGAGACGAGCCUUUAAGGCGAAGUCACUGAUACCACGCUUCCAGGAAAAGCUCCUAAGCUUCAGCUUACGCAGACCGUACCGUAAACCGACACAGGUGGGUAGGAUGAGAAUUCUCAGGCGCUUGAGAGAACUCGGGUGAAGGAACUAGGCAACAUGGCACCGUAACUUCGGGAGAAGGUGCACCCUUUUUGGUGGCUCGUGCGAGCUAUAGCUGAAGAGGGUCGCAGUAACCAGGCCGCUGCGACUGUUUAUCAAAAACACAGCACUCUGCAAACACGAAAGUGGACGUAUAGGGUGUGACGCCUGCCCGGUGCUGGAAGGUUAAUUGAUGGGGUCAGCCGCAAGGCGAAGCUCUUGAUCGAAGCCCCAGUAAACGGCGGCCGUAACUAUAACGGUCCUAAGGUAGCGAAAUUCCUUGUCGGGUAAGUUCCGACCUGCACGAAUGGCGUAACGACAGCGGCGCUGUCUCCACCCGAGACUCAGUGAAAUUGAAAUCGCUGUGAAGAUGCAGCGUUCCCGUGGCAAGACGGAAAGACCCCGUGAACCUUUACUAUAGCUUUACACUGAACGUUGAGUUCGUCUGUGUAGGAUAGGUGGGAGGCUAUGAAACUGUGGCGCUAGCUGCAGUGGAGCCAUCCUUGAAAUACCACCCUGUCGUGCUUGACGUUCUAACCUGGGCCCAUUAUCUGGGUCGGGGACCGUGUAUGGUGGGUAGUUUGACUGGGGCGGUCUCCUCCUAAAGAGUAACGGAGGAGCUCGAAGGUACGCUCAGCGCGGUCGGACAUCGCGCACUGUGUGCAAAGGCAUAAGCGUGCUUGACUGCAAGAUCGACGGAUCAAGCAGGUAGGAAACUAGGACUUAGUGAUCCGGUGGUUCUGUAUGGAAGGGCCAUCGCUCAACGGAUAAAAGGUACUCCGGGGAUAACAGGCUGAUACCGCCCAAGAGUUCAUAUCGACGGCGGUGUUUGGCACCUCGAUGUCGGCUCAUCACAUCCUGGGGCUGUAGUCGGUCCCAAGGGUAUGGCUGUUCGCCAUUUAAAGUGGUACGCGAGCUGGGUUCAGAACGUCGUGAGACAGUUCGGUCCCUAUCUGCCAUGGGCGUUGGAGAUUUGAGAGGGGCUGCUCCUAGUACGAGAGGACCGGAGUGGACGAACCUCUGGUGUUCCGGUUGUCACGCCAGUGGCAUUGCCGGGUAGCUAUGUUCGGAAGCGAUAACCGCUGAAAGCAUCUAAGCGGGAAGCGCGCCUCAAGAUGAGAUCUCCCGGGGCACAAGCCCCCUGAAGGAACCAUAUAGACUAUGUGGUUGAUAGGUCAGGUGUGUAAGUACAGCAAUGUAUUGAGCUAACUGAUACUAAUGAUCCGUGUGGCUUGACCAUAUAACCUCA
rnacentral:rRNA from 1 species